UCCGAAAUAGCCAAAUGGAUAAGGCGCAAGCCCCAAAGCUUGGAAUACAGGAUCAAAUCCUGUUUUUGGAACCC
rnacentral:tRNA from 1 species